UUUGUACCGUGAUGAGCAUGAAGAUAAAUGUUAGCUGUGAAAGUUGCCCUUUCACGCUUUGAAUGAAUACCCAUGGAACAGCUUCAAUUUAAGAAAAUAAGACUGUGUUGGAUACAGAACAGGGGACUGCACAGCGGUCAAAUGAAGUUGAGCGUAUGCGUGCUGUUUUCUGAAGGCCGCCAUAUUAUUGCCAAGGUGGAGUUGAGCAAUUUUCCUUUUUGCAUCCCACGUUCCUCCAUUCAUGUAUUAUUACACUAAAAUAAAAAAUAAAAAACCUUUACAG